rnacentral:tRNA from 1 species
CCGAUAUAGCUCAGUGGUAGAGCGCAUCCUUGGUAAGGAUGAGGUCACGGGUUCAAGUCCCGUUAUUGG